GAGAAAGCCCCUCCUUCCCCUUCCCACCGUUCGCCUAUCGCCCUCGCUCUUUGCUGGUCGCAUGCGCGCUGGGCUCCUGUGACGUAGUUUUCGCGCGUCCGCGUCGUUUGGAACCGCGACGCCAAACAUGGCGUGUUCCUAGAAGCCGCUUUCGGCAUCAGUAGGCGGCGGCGUGGGGACUGGCAGCGUGGGCGCGGGACCAACCGACGCCACUUCGUGUUGGGAAGUGGGAGCGGGAGGGCCGGGCAAUUCCCGACCGAACCAAACGCUAAGGAGACGUCAGAGGGUGAUGGUGGCAGUAGUUGGUACCUCACAGCUGGGCACUGAUCAGGUUUCCAUGGAUCUCAAUAGUGCCAGCACUGUUGUUCUUCAGGUCUUAACACAGGCCACCAGUCAGGAUACUGCUGUGUUAAAACCAGCCGAGGAGCAGCUGAAGCAGUGGGAGACACAGCCAGGUUUCUAUUCAGUGUUGCUGAAUAUUUUCACAAACCACACUUUGGAUAUAAAUGUAAGGUGGCUUGCUGUACUGUAUUUUAAACAUGGAAUUGAUCGCUACUGGAGACGUGUAGCACCUCAUGCUCUGUCAGAGGAGGAGAAAACUACUCUGCGUGCAGGGCUCAUCACCAACUUCAAUGAACCAAUAAACCAGAUUGCAACUCAGAUUGCAGUGCUGAUUGCAAAGGUUGCUAGAUUGGAUUGUCCCAGACAGUGGCCUGAACUAAUUCCCACUCUUAUAGAGUCUGUUAAAGUCCAGGAUGAUCUUCGACAGCACAGAGCAUUACUUACCUUCUAUCAUGUUACCAAGACACUGGCAUCUAAACGACUUGCUGCUGAUAGAAAACUAUUUUAUGAUUUAGCUUCUGGAAUUUAUAAUUUUGCCUGCUCUCUGUGGAAUCACCACACAGACACAUUCCUGCAACAAGUUUCUUCUGGCAAUGAAGCUGUAAUUCUGAGUUCACUAGAACGAACUCUGCUAUCAUUGAAAGUGCUGCGUAAGUUAACUGUUAAUGGAUUUGUGGAACCUCAUAAGAAUAUGGAGGUGAUGGGUUUUUUACAUGGAAUAUUUGAACGUCUAAAACAGUUUCUGGAAUGCAGUAGAAGUAUAGGUACAGAUAAUGUGUGUAGAGAUAGACUGGAAAAGACCAUCAUUCUUUUUACUAAAGUGCUUUUAGACUUCUUGGAUCAGCAUCCCUUUUCAUUUACUCCUCUAAUUCAGAGAUCACUGGAAUUUUCUGUAAGCUAUGUUUUUACAGAAGUUGGUGAAGGCGUUACAUUUGAACGAUUCAUUGUCCAAUGUAUGAAUCUUAUUAAGAUGAUUGUCAAAAAUUAUGCUUAUAAGCCAUCCAAAAAUUUUGAAGAUAGCAGCCCUGAAACUCUUGAAGCCCAUAAGAUUAAGAUGGCAUUCUUCACAUAUCCUACUUUGACAGAGAUAUGUAGAAGAUUAGUCUCUCAUUAUUUUCUGUUAACUGAAGAAGAACUGACAAUGUGGGAAGAAGACCCAGAAGGCUUUACAGUGGAAGAAACAGGAGGAGAUUCUUGGAAAUAUAGUUUGAGGCCAUGCACUGAAGUAUUAUUUAUAGAUAUAUUCCAUGAAUAUAAUCAGACUCUUACUCCUGUACUUCUAGAAAUGAUGCAAACACUUCAAGGACCCACAAAUGUGGAAGAUAUGAAUGCACUGUUAAUCAAAGAUGCUGUGUAUAAUGCUGUUGGAUUAGCUGCUUAUGAGCUCUUUGACAGUGUUGAUUUUGAUCAGUGGUUUAAAAACCAGCUUCUUCCAGAAUUACAAGUCAUUCACAAUAGGUAUAAGCCAUUGCGGCGCAGGGUGAUUUGGCUCAUCGGUCAGUGGAUUUCUGUGAAAUUCAAGUCUGACUUAAGACCCAUGCUUUAUGAAGCAAUCUGUAACUUGCUUCAAGAUCAAGAUUUAGUGGUCCGUAUUGAAACAGCUACAACUUUGAAGUUAACUGUUGAUGAUUUUGAAUUUAGAACAGAUCAGUUUCUACCGUAUUUGGAAACCAUGUUCACACUACUUUUUCAGUUACUGCAACAAGUUACAGAAUGUGACACAAAGAUGCACGUUUUGCAUGUCCUUUCUUGUGUGAUCGAAAGAGUCAACAUGCAGAUACGACCAUAUGUGGGAUGUUUGGUACAAUAUUUGCCCCUCCUUUGGAAGCAGAGUGAAGAACACAAUAUGUUGAGAUGUGCUAUUUUGACAACACUUAUUCAUCUUGUUCAGGGAUUAGGAGCAGACAGCAAGAACCUGUACCCUUUCCUGCUCCCAGUUAUUCAACUGAGUACAGAUGUUUCCCAGCCUCCACAUGUUUAUCUUCUGGAAGAUGGUUUAGAAUUAUGGUUAGUAACUUUGGAAAACAGCCCAUGUAUCACACCAGAGUUGCUGCGUAUAUUUCAGAAUAUGUCACCACUUCUUGAACUAAGUUCAGAAAAUCUUAGAACUUGCUUUAAGAUCAUCAAUGGUUAUAUCUUUUUAUCAUCAACGGAAUUUUUACAGACAUAUGCAGUAGGUCUAUGCCAGUCGUUUUGUGAACUUUUAAAGGAAAUUACUACAGAAGGUCAAGUUCAGGUGCUCAAGGUUGUAGAAAAUGCCCUUAAAGUGAACCCAAUAUUAGGUCCGCAAAUGUUUCAACCGAUUUUACCCUAUGUUUUCAAGGGUAUUAUAGAAGGGGAGAGGUAUCCUGUAGUGAUGUCCACGUAUCUCGGAGUUAUGGGUCGAGUUCUACUACAAAACACUAGUUUUUUUUCUUCACUACUUAAUGAGAUGGCCCAUAAAUUUAAUCAGGAGAUGGACCAGCUUUUGGGAAAUAUGAUUGAAAUGUGGGUCGAUCGAAUGGACAACAUUACCCAGCCUGAAAGAAGGAAACUUUCAGCUUUGGCUUUGCUCUCUCUUCUGCCAUCUGAUAAUAGCUUCCUGAAUCCAUGGCAACCUCUGUUUUACACAUUGACUGUAAAGGAACCAAUGUGAAGAGUGGUGUUUCCUGAGCAAACGGUGACUUGAAAAAAAAAAAAAAAAAGUGGUGGGGUGGAGGUCAGCAAUGCCACAGAACAAAAUGGAGUUUAGAAAUGUCGUUCUUCAGAUUUAAAAAGAAAACCUUUACUGAAUCAGCUGAGUGUUAAUAAUACGAAUUUCCUUUUCUUGUGUUAUCCAAGAUAAAUUCUGUGGGAUUAUAAACAUUUCAGUGGAAGGCCUGCAUGAUGUCAUGACAGAAGAUCCUGAAACAGGAACUUAUAAAGACUGUAUGUUGAUGUCUCAUCUUGAGGAACCAAAAGUAACAGAAGAUGAAGAACCACCCACAGAACAAGAUAAGAGGAAAAAGAUGCUGGCCCUGAAGGACCCUGUUCAUAUGGUGUCACUGCAGCAGUUCAUCUACGAGAAGCUCAAGGCACAGCAGGAGAUGCUAGGAGAACAAGGUUUCCAGUCCCUCAUGGAAACAGUGGACACGGAGAUCGUCACCCAGCUACAGGAAUUUUUGCAAGGAUUCUAAGAGCACAUGACAUGUGGCUGCCUCGCCUUUCAGAAACAAGCUGAGUAACCUAGCCUGCCGUUUGUAUGUGAGAGCCUGCUGAGAUGAAGAAAUCACUUCAUGAAAAUAAGCAAAGACCACACAUUUUUUUUUACUACAAAAUGUAAAGGAUAAAUGUAAAUCCUGCAUAACUAAAAUCACAAACCUAUUCCUCAAAAGAAUUUAAUUUUAUAUUUAUGAGGGGGCCCUUUACUAAAAAGUACAUGUAAAAGUACGUUUGAUGACAAUAGCUGCUUAGUUUCCUGUUAAGAGAAGAAACUUUAUCUUUUAAUUAUGUGCUCUUAACAUUUGAAGAUAAGAGUUAAUGCCCGAGAUGUUUUUCUGCAACCAAAAUUCAUUAAAUUUGGCUGCCUUAUCCUUUUUUUAAGCUAAUGAAACUACAGGUUUGAAAACUGACAAAGCUGUUCAGAUGAUGCUAUUAAAGAAAUGUGUGUACUAAGCAAAAAUGUAUAAUAGUGACAAAUACACAUUACCAAGUUUAUCUUGCAAGGGAGUUAUUUUCAUCUAACAUAGAAAGUGUGUUUCAUCAGACAAAUGCUUUUAUUUUCUUUCUAAUAAUUUGAUACAGAAAUUAGUAAAGGCAUUUUUUUCUUUUUUUUUUUUCCCAGUAAAUACGUUGAGUCUACAAAUGUACAUUUGUAAGGCCUGUAAAAGUGAACGUGUGAGACUGCAGUACCACAUGGGAGACCUCUAGUUAUGGUUUUUGUCCUAGUUCCUUUGUUACUCCUGUGAGCACCAAGAAGAACUGGGCGACUCCCAGUCCCACCUGUGCUGUGACAGUCCCACGUGGCUAUGACAGACUGUUCAGUACUUACCCUUCUCAGGUUCCUCAGUGCAGGGGUGCAUCAAGGCCUCAAUAAUAGGGGGGGUAUACCUGGGAGGAUCCAGCAGUAAUCCCCAGGGUACUAGGAUUACUAGUAUUCUGAUGGAACUAGUCUUCCUUCCUUAUUCCUCCAACAUGCAGUACAUAAAAAGGGGAAAAGGAGAAAAAAAAAAAAGCCUUACUUUGUUUUACUUGCCAUUGAUUGUAAGGAAACUUUAAAGCAUUUUUUAGGAAAUACUCAAAAGCAAGGUUGGAAAAUGUUUUAUCUUUCUAUAGAAAGUUGGGUACAGUAUGUAACUGUGGGAAACCCACUGCCCCUUUGUAAGCUGUGGUACCCAAAAUGUAUGGGGAUAUUUGAUGUUUUCAGAAAGAGGAGGAAAAUAUGGUCCAAAUUAAAUUUUCCAAAGAUACCUCACCUUGGACUGAUUUGUCUGACUACUUUUCUUGCUCCCCCCCAAAAAAUGAGUUCUUAAAAAUUGCCCAAUGACUUAGAAAGGGAGUUUUCUUUUAUACUCUAGCUUGGAUUCUGUGCUAGUAGGUAUCAGUACUGCAGGUAGCAAAUCCUAGUUACCCUUUUAAUUUAUCUUCAUUUAAAGACAAAAAGCUCCUUUCAAGUGAUACUUCUUUAUCAGUAUUACUGAGUCCUCAAGACUGAUCCAAGAAUUUCUUUUUGUUGACUUAAUUAUUUUCAUUUGAAACACUAACCCAUUAGUGUUAUCAGAAAUUCUCAAACAUGCUUAUUUUUUAGUUAAAGUACUCAUCCUUCUAAUUCCUGAUAGAUUUCAUUAUAGUGCCAUCGCAAAUAUUACUGAAAUAGCUACCUUGCAAAAGAAGUAAAAAGCUUAUCUCAGGGAAAGAGUUUGCUUCAUUUUUUAAAUUUGUAAGUUUAAAUAGGCUUGAUAAAUAGCUCAGAAAAAUAAUUCAUGUAUCUUGAAUUUUUAAGUGCUCAAUUAAGACAUAAAAUGUAAUUAUUGGUUUACAGAAUUCGAUUCAUUAACAGAACUAUAUAACAAAUAUAUUAAGUUUAAGACAAACAACUCAACCAGGCCUCUGGCCUCUGGUUGAACUGUGGCUCCUGAAACAAGGUAAUGAUCAUUUAUACUCCAAAAACAUUCCUUUUCUAUUUAUUUUCUAUUCCAAAGACUUCUCCCAACCCUCUCAAAAAGGCCCAUGUGACUAACAAUGACAUUUUAAAACUUCCUUAUGAGUUGGUCCCUCCUCUCUCUCCUACUAGUCAUUUUAGAGAAUCCACAUUAUUGCAUACAAUUUUUAAAAAGAUACAGUUUUUCUUGAAAAAUCCUCACUUUAAUCUUUAUUUUACCCAUUUCUUUAUUCAGUUAGUAUUUAUUGAGUUACUGUUUCAUGCCAUAAUGCUAUGCUGCAUUCUGAGAUGAGAACAGAGUAUCCACCUUUGUGAAAUUUCACAGUUGAUUAGAAACACAGACUUGCCGACAUGCUAUAAGAAAAUAGGGGUUCUGAUGGAAGGGCACAUUCUAAAGCAGUUGGCCUGCAGGUGAAGGAGAUUGUGUAUGAAAUAAAAUGAUGCUGUCACUGUAUAAUUUGAUAGUUAUUUAAAAACUGCUCUAUAAUGGCAUGGUUUGGUGAGGCUACUUAAGCGUCAAUGGCACUAUACUGGAACUGGGCAACUCCCUGACUCCAGACUCGCAUCAAUUUGGAGUCACUCUAACAUACAAAAUCAUCAGGUUUUGAAAAUGUUGGAUCUUUGUAGCCUCACGACUAAUUUAUAAUUCCAUGAAUUAAAAUAUAAGGCUCACCUA